GUCUACCAUGCAGUCUAGCGGUAACAGAUCUAGCUUGCUAGAUGCUGACGAGCGGCGGACGGGUGAGUAAUGCAUAGGAAUCUACCCGGUAGUGGGGGAUAACCUGGGGAAACCCAGGCUAAUACCGCAUACGUCCUACGGGAGAAAGGGGGCUCCGGCUCCCGCUAUCGGAUGAGCCUAUGUCGGAUUAGCUAGUUGGUGAGGUAAUGGCUCACCAAGGCAACGAUCCGUAGCUGGUCUGAGAGGAUGAUCAGCCACAUCGGGACUGAGACACGGCCCGAACUCCUACGGGAGGCAGCAGUGGGGAAUAUUGGACAAUGGGGGGAACCCUGAUCCAGCCAUGCCGCGUGUGUGAAAAAGGCCUUCGGGUUGUAAAGCACUUUCAGCGAGGAAGAACGCCUAGUGGUUAAUACCCAUUAGGAAAGACAUCACUCGCAGAAGAAGCACCGGCUAACUCCGUGCCAGCAGCCGCGGUAAUACGGAGGGUGCAAGCGUUAAUCGGAAUUACUGGGCGUAAAGCGCGCGUAGGUGGCUUGAUAAGCCGGUUGUGAAAGCCCCGGGCUCAACCUGGGAACGGCAUCCGGAACUGUCAAGCUAGAGUGCAGGAGAGGAAGGUAGAAUUCCCGGUGUAGCGGUGAAAUGCGUA
rnacentral:rRNA from 1 species